GACGAACGCUGGCGGCGUGCUUAACACAUGCAAGUCGAACGGACAGGCCCUGCUUUUGUGGGGUGCUCGAGUGGCGAACGGGUGAGUAACACGUGAGUAACCUGCCCUUGACUUUGGGGUAACUUCAGGAAACUGGGGCUAAUACCGGAUAGGAGCUCCUGCUGCAUGGUGGGGGUUGGAAAGUUUCGGCGGUUGGGGAUGGACUCGCGGCUUAUCCGCUUGUUGGUGGGGUAGUGGCUUACCAAGGCUUUGACGGGUAGCCGGCAUGAGAGGGUGACCGGCCACAUGGGGACUGAGAUACGGCCCAGACGCCUACGGGAGGCAGCAGGGGGGAGUAUUGCACAAUGGGCGGGAGCCUGAUGCAGCAACGCCGCGUGCGGGAUGACGGCCUUCGGGUUAUAAACCGCUUUCGCCUGUGACGAAGCGGGAGUGACGGUAAUGGGUAAAGAAGCACCGGCUAACUACGUG
rnacentral:rRNA from 1 species